UGAUUACAGUAUGCAGCUGCGUGUCUCAUGAUUGAGCCAGUGUUUUUUGCCAAGAAUGAAUUGUUUUUCAUAAUUAUUGACUUGGUUACCUGUGGCAAUUCUGAAGCUAAUACAUGCACGAAAGCUCCGACCCUCGAGGAAAGAGCGCAUUUAUUAGACCAAAACCAAUCGAGUACUUCGGUGCUUGUGUUUUGGUGACUCUGAAUAACUUAGUUGAUCGCACAGUCAUAGUACUGGCGACGUAUCUUUCAAAUGUCUGCCUUAUCAACUUUCGAUGGUAGGUUAUACGCCUACCAUGGUUAUAACGGGUAACGGAGAAUUAGGGUUCGACUCCGGAGAGGGAGCCUGAGAAACGGCUACCACAUCCAAGGAAGGCAGCAGGCGCGCAAAUUACCCAAUCUCAGAACGAGGAGGUAGUGACGAAAAAUAACAAAACAGUCCACUCUGUGGUCUGUUAUCGGAAUGGGUACAAUUUAAAUCUUUUAACGAGGAUCUAUUAGAGGGCAAGUCUGGUGCCAGCAGCCGCGGUAAUUCCAGCUCUAAUAGCGUAUAUUAAAGUUGUUGUGGUUAAAACGCCCGUAGUUGGUUCUUCGGUCUUGAAGCUCGGUAGCUCAUAUGGGCUUAACUGAGUCUUCCGGCCUAUAUUUCUUGUUUUCUCCCGAUGCUCUUUAUUGAGUGUCUCGAGAUACUAGAACGUUUACUUUGAAAAAAUUAGAGUGCUAAAAAGCAGGCUAUACGCUUGAAUAAAGUGCAUGGAAUAAUGGAAUAGGACUUUAGUUUUAUUUUGUUUGCUUUUCGAAAUUAAAGUAAUGAUUAAGAGGAACAGACGGGGGCAUUCGUAUUGUUGCGUUAGAGGUGAAUUUCUUGGAUCGCAGCAAGACGAACAACUGCGAAAGCAUUUUCCCUAGAAUGGA
rnacentral:rRNA from 1 species